UAAGUUCUCUGUAGCGCAGCUAACGCAUUAAGCACUCCGCCUGGGGAGUACGACCGCAAGGUUGAAACUCAAAGGAAUUGACGGGGGCCCGCACAAGCGGUGGAGCAUGUGGUUUAAUUCGAAGCAACGCGAAGAACCUUACCAGGUCUUGACAUACUCGUGCUAUCCUUAGAGAUAAGGAGUUCCUUCGGGACACGGGAUACAGGUGGUGCAUGGUUGUCGUCAGCUCGUGUCGUGAGAUGUUGGGUUAAGUCCCGCAACGAGCGCAACCCUUAUUACUAGUUGCCAUCAUUAAGUUGGGCACUCUAGUGAGACUGCCGGUGAUAAACCGGAGGAAGGUGGGGAUGACGUCAAAUCAUCAUGCCCCUUAUGACCUGGGCUACACACGUGCUACAAUGGUUAGUACAACGAGCAGCGAACCUGCAAAGGCAAGCGAAUCUCUGAAAGCUAAUCUCAGUUCGGAUUGCACUCUGCAACUCGAGUGCAUGAAGCUGGAGUCGCUAGUAAUC
rnacentral:rRNA from 1 species